CUUUCGGCUUCUGUCACUAAGUCAGGUCCAAAAACUUCUGUUUCUCUAGGCUGAGACCAAUUGAGUGGUGUUCUGCAUCUUCUCCCAUAGAGAGCUUCGAAGGGUGCCAUCUUUAGGCUGGAUUGAUAACUGUUGUUAUAAGCAAACUCUGCCAAAGAGAUGUUCUUAUCCCAGUUCUUGCCACAAUCGAUUGCACAAGCCCUCAACAUAUCUUCAAGAAUUUGAUUUACCCUCUUGGUCUGACCAUCAGUCUGUGGGUGGUAAGCUGAACUUCUGAUUAGCUUGGUUCCCAAAGACUCUUGCAGUUGUUCCCAAAAUCUGGCAACAAACGGGGCACCUCGAUUAGAAACAAUGGUCCGAGGCAAUCCGUGCAAACACACGAUCCGAUCAAUGUACAACUCUGCAUACUUUUGAGCCUUAUCAGUGGUGUGCACUGGGAGAAAAGGUGCCACUUUCGUCAGUUGGUCCACAAUAACCCAAAUCGAAUCAUGAUAACGAGAGGUGUUGGGCAGACCCACAAUAAAUCCAUGCUGAUGUCAUCCCAUUUCCAUGAAGGUAUAGACAGGGGUUGCAAAGCUCCAGCUGAUUUCAAGUGGCUUGCCUUUAUCCUCUGACACGUGUCACAUUCCGAUACAUAUCGGGCUAUCUCCCUCUUCAUUCUGGUCCACCAAUACAAGGGCUUCAGAUCAUGGUACAUUUUGUUGCUCCCUAGAUGCAUGGAGAAUUUGGAGAGAUGGGCCUCAUCCAAGAUUUUCUUCUUGAGAUCCUCAUUUUUAGGAACCACCAAUCUGCUUUCAAACCAUAAUAUACCCUUUCCAUAUUGGCGGAAACAUUUAUACUUCUCGGUCUUCUGACGGAGAUUCUCCUUGAUAAUCUGCACUCCCUUGUCACUGAGCUAGGCCAUGAUAAUCUGGUCUUGCAAAGCUGGCUCAACAGAAAUGAGACAAAGCACCAGAAGGAAUUACUUCAAUCUUCAUCUUGCUCAACUCAUCACACAAUGUGUCAAUACGAGAAUCCAUCAUAACACAGUUACAUUGCAACUUCCGACUCAAGGCAUCUGCUACCACAUUGGCUUUUCCUGGGUGAUAAUGUACCUCAAGGUCAUAAUCCUUGAUCAGCUCUAGCCAUCUUCUCUGCCUCACAUUGAGAUCAGCCUGAGUAAAGAUAUACUUAAGGCUUUUAUGAUCAGUGAAGAUGUUGCAGUGGGUUCCCAUCAAAUAGUGCCUCCGCAUUUUUAAUGCAUGAACCACCGCUGCCAACUCCAAGUCAUGAGUAGGAUAAUUUUGCUCAUGAGGCCUGAGUGCUCUUGAUGCAUAAGCAAUGACUCGGUUGUCUUGCAUCAAGACACAACCUAGUCCAGUGCCAGAUGCAUCACAGUACACAUCAAAUGACUUGCUGCUAUCGGGUUGCGCUAACACUGGUGCUAUGGUCAGAUGUUGCCUCAAUGCAUGGAAGGCAUCUUUGCACUUCUGACCCCAAACAAACUUGGCUUCUUUCUUCAAUAGCUCAGUUAUGGGCUUCACAAUUCAAGAGAAAUCCGAAAUGAAUCUUCGAUAAUAACCGGCCAAUCCCAGAAAACUUCGAAUCUGACGGACAGUCGUUGGUGGCUUCCAGUUCAUCACCUCUUGCACCUUAUCAGGAUCAACAACUAUGCCUGCCUGAGAGAUAGUGUGACCCAAGAACUUGAUUUCCUUUAGCCAAAAAUCACAUUUUGACAAUUUGGCAUAAAGACGGUGCUCUCGCAGACGUUGAAGCACUACAUGCAAAUGUCCGGCAUGUUCUUCUUCAUUCUUUGAGUACACCAAGAUGUCAUCGAUGAAAACCACUACGAAUUUGUCCAACUCAGGCAUGAAAACAGAAUUCAUCAGAUACAUAAAAUAUGCUAGUGCAUUGGUCAGCCCAAAAUACAUCACCAAGAAUUCAUACAACCCA
rnacentral:lncRNA from 1 species